CUUCAGACAAACAGGAAAUGCACCACAUCAUGUGUCUACAAAUAUAAAGAGGGAGAAUUCUUAAUAUUGGGUCUGGACAAAGAAUUGAAAUCUAAUUAGAGCUCAGAAUGAUUGCCAGUGUGAAGAUACUCCCUUGGAUUCCCUCCCCAAACACACAGCUGCUUGCUAGGGUUGCUCAGCUCUGAGGUUUUAAGGAGUUUUCAGGAGUCCUUGCCUGUUACUGACACCUUGCAAAGGAUGGGAAGGGGGAAACAAGAUAAACUCUUUCUGACUGAAACCUUCAGCAACUCAGCCACUCUGUCAUUAAGUCCUGUUACUUCCAAUACAGGUGUUAAUAAAUCAAAGAUAGAUUCUGAAAGGUAAGUUCCUGACCAUGACAGAGAGUGAUGGUCUUGGCUUUAAUCCUCUUUGGCCAUCUUUUACCUGCAUUUAAGUCACUUAGCCCAUUUCCAUGAUAAAACUCAGAAGGCAAUGUUGAAAUAAUAAAUGAAGGUUUGUAA